rnacentral:lncRNA from 1 species
GUGCCACAAAGUGCCCAGAGAGCAGGAAGCACACAUAGAACCAUCAAUGCUCCUUUCCGUAGGAGAAAUAGCUGAACGGGCAAUGUGUUCAUCUCUGUAUAAGUUCAGAUGUGAUUACCCAGGUCCAGAAGGUUUGGUCUACUUCUCUCUUAAUCCCAUAUUUUCUUCUUUAGAUAAUAAUUAUUCUUUUAGUUAAGAUGUGAUCAGCCUUCAUGAUGCAUGGAUGCAAAUUUGGAUAGUUGGAUUCUUGACGUGCACAUAAAUACGUUGAGAAGUUGCAACUAGAAUAAAGCUUCCGUCCAACUGCAGGUUAGUAUAUGCCUUAUAUGUUCUAAGGAAUUCCGCUUUCUCGUUGCAACAGCCAGAAGUGCAAAAUCUACUGAAGUUUGAAUGUUAAUCCAGCUUAUUACUUGGGGCCUCUGAUAUAUGCAUCAAAAUCAUAGAUUUUUAUUUUUGCAAAUUGUUGGUGACUACUGAUCAUCUUUAUUGUUUUUUAUUCAUACAGUUCACGGGGCAAUGAGUAUGAGAUCUGUUCGUGGGUGUCAGUCAAUGUUAGAUUGGUUCUGCAACUAUUUUUCGUCUGAAAAGAUAUACUUUGCAGCAUCAUGUAUGAUAUGUAUAUGCUUGGUUCAGUGUUAUUCAUAGCUAUGUUACUGUGUCCACGUGCUUCCUUCAUAUAUUUUGGCUCACUCGGCUUCCUCCUGCGUCGGCAG